AGGCACUGGAAGUAGAGCAGCAAUGAAGACAGAUGUAGUCCUGGCAUUCCUCAAGCUUAUAGUCUAAUAGGAACGUCUACACUGAGAAAGAAAAAAAAGAAAAGAAGGAAGAAAAGAAGAAACCCUUCUCUGACACUUCAUAGACAAAAAACAAGAGGAGAUGAUUAUUUAAGUUCAUCAGAUAUUUUAAGGAAUAAAGGAAGUUGACGGGUGGAAAUCUGAAGGUGAAUUAAAUAAUUGGAAGUUAUGAUGAAUUGCCAUUCCAUCUGUGUAUUGCCUUUAAUCUCUGGUCUGGCUCUUCUACCUGCCACAUGAAUUGAAAACUGAGUUUUUGGAGCCGGGGAUUUCUGGAAGAUGUGGAAUGGGAGAAAGCCUGAGGUGGUGAUAAGCCAGCAGCUUUCCCUGGUGCAAAGCUGAGCAGGUGCACAGCAUCAGGCCUGAUUUGGGCUGCUCACAUCCAAGCUUCAGACUCUCUUAAGAUGCUUUUCUGGGGAACACAUUCUUCACUCUCCACUCCCUUCAUCUGUACUUCAUUGUAAAAAAGGAAGUUAAACCAAAACGAAAUAAAUGUUAAGAUAGAACCUCAGGAUUCUAACCAUGAUACUUUUGCUUUACUGCUC
rnacentral:lncRNA from 1 species